GAUGAAGAACGUAGCGAAAUGCGAUAAGUAAUGUGAAUUGCAGAAUUCAGUGAAUCAUCGAAUCUUUGAACGCACAUUGCGCCCGCCAGUAUUCUGGCAGGCAUGCCUGUCUGAGCGUCAUUUCAACCCUCAUGCCCCUAGGGCGUGGUGUUGGGGAUCGGCCAAAGCCCGCGAGGGACGGCCGGCCCCUAAAUCUAGUGGCGGACCCGUCGUGGCCUCCUCUGCGAAGUAGUGAUAUUCCGCAUCGGAGAGCGAUGAGCCCCUGCCGUUAAACCCCCAACUUUCCAAGGUUGACCUCAGAUCAGGUAGGAAUACCCGCUGAACUUAAGCAUAUCAAUAAGCGGAGGA
rnacentral:misc_RNA from 1 species